rnacentral:rRNA from 1 species
GGCUAACUCCGUGCCAGCAGCCGCGGUAAUACGGAGGGUGCGAGCGUUAAUCGGAAUUACUGGGCGUAAAGCGCAUGCAGGCGGCCUGUUAAGUCAGAUGUGAAAGACCCGGGGCGUUAACCUUCCGGAAUUGCAUUUGUAAACUAGGCAGGCUAGAGUCUUGUAGAGGGGGGUAGGAAGUUUACUAGGUGUAGCGGUGAAAUAGCGUAGAGAUCUGAAGGAAUACCAGUGGCGAAGGCGGCCCCCCUCGGACAAAGACUGACGCUCAGAUGCGAAAGCGUGGGGAGCAAACAGGAUUAGAUACCCUGGUAG